GUCUCGGUGGCGCAAUUGGUUAGCGCGUAAGACUGUUAUUCCGUAAAUCUUGAGGUUGAGAGUUCGAUCCUCUCCCGGGACG